UACGUAGGGGGCAAGCGUUGUCCGGAUUUAUUGGGCGUAAAGAGCGUGUAGGCGGCCUGAAAGGUCAGCUGUGAAAACUCGAGGCUCAACCUCGAGACGUCGGUUGAAACCAUCUGGCUAGAGUCCGGAAGAGGAGUGUGGAAUUCCCGGUGUAGCGGUGAAAUGCGCAGAUAUCGGGAAGAACACCCGUGGCGAAGGCGGCACUCUGGGACGGUACUGACGCUGAGACGCGAAAGCGUGGGGAGCGAACAUG
rnacentral:rRNA from 1 species